GAUGAAGAACGUAGCGAAAUGCGAUAAGUAGUGUGAAUUGCAGAAUUCAGUGAAUCAUCGAAUCUUUGAACGCACAUUGCGCCCCUUGGUAUUCCAUGGGGCAUGCCUGUUCGAGCGUCACGAAAACCCCAUCACACUCGUUGUGGUCAUGGCUGCAGUGAGUCGUCUCCAGCGGAGAGGGUCACGCCGCUGAAAGGAAUGGUGCGGAUGAGUUCCGAUGGCCGAACGUAGUACUUGACAACCGUCGGCCGAUGGGACCCUCCAUCUCGCCCUGACGACGUACCCCCGUCGUACCCCCGAUCAGGUGGACCUCGGAUCAGGUAGGGAUACCCGCUGAACUUAAGCAUAUCAAUAAGCGGAGGA
rnacentral:misc_RNA from 1 species